ensembl:lncRNA
CUCUCCGAUCAGCCGAUAAUGGCCCUUUGCUGUCUGGAAGCAGCCAGCCCUAUGGCAGCACGUGAUCUGACAGCACAGGGCACUGAUUGAAUUAGGAAGCCAUUUGCUGUGUGUUCCGGUAGACGAUAACAGCGCUGGAAAAUAAAAGGACAUUGGUGUCUUUUAGCAAUCGAUAGCCUGUCCAUUCCUUGCUCUUAUGGGCAGAUAGGCUCGUAGGUUGCCCGUUGGAUACUGACAGGUUUAUUGUUAGAUAUUGGAGCAGACGGCCUCUGACUUUAUUCUGCAGAGGCUGUGUUUGUUUUGGGGGGAUUUGGAUCAGAAUAUAAUUUAAAGUAGAAAAUCGAAUUCUCUUUUCUUGGAGGAGCAGGUGCACUGUGUGGCUUAACCUUCCACUUAGAAAACCCCAGGGCUAUCAAACAGUUAAAUAGCCUGGGGCUCCUCCUCUGUCAUAAGGACUUCAGGCAGGCAAGGCAACUCAGUUGAGAAAGUGUCUCUGGGCUGGAAACACAGAAGCCCCUUCACCGAGCAGUUCUGUUUACGGCUGACCGUCAAAGAGCGAUGGGACAAAUCAAAGCCAUGGACCACCUGAGUCGAGGGGCCGGACAGGAGCUCAAGAUCCAGAUGGACUUUGAGGUGGAGCCCCUGUCCAUCAGAUUCCUCCGGACAUUUCGAGAAGUUCUGAAAUUCGUUUUCUUCAGCUACACCGUGUUGUUUGGUGCCUUGCUCCUGGCCCGAUGGACGACCUAUUUCAUGGUUGGGAAGAAAUAAAGAAAAAAGGAGGAGAAGAUUACAUCACUCUCUCUCUCUCUCUCUCUCUCUCUCUCUCUCUCUCUCUCUCUCUCUCUCUCUCUCUGUCUGUCUCUGUCUCUGUCUCUGUCUCUGUCUCUGUCUCUGUCUCUCUCUCUCCCUCUCUCUCUCCAUAUGGCUUAAAGGUUCCAUCUCAAAGUGGUUGUACAGUCGUCAUGUCAUUCAACACACCACAGGAACUAGAUAUAGGUGUAUUCAAUAUGUUUAUUCAGCACUUUUAGCCUUUUUCUCAAGUCAAUGUCAUUGUUGAAAUCAUCGAAUCUUAUAAAAAGCUUUUCAUUAACUGUAUGUAAAAGCAUCAAAUGCUAUAUUGAUUAAGCAAUGGAAUAGUGCAUAUGGAUCAGAUCAGAGUUACAGUUUGGGUUUAACAACUAUAGGCCUCAUGAUGGUUGAGGAGAAUUCAUUGUUUGGCAGACUUUCCCCGAUACAGAACAUGAUUCAGAUACCGACUACACCUAUUUCAUGUGCCUCCUGUGGAUGAUGAAGCAGGCUUCUUUUGAUCCAGACUGAUGUGAAGACUGUAGACAUCCGUUGCCCAGGCUCUGUGGAACCAAUGCCUAGGGACCCACAGUUCCUUAAUGCUCGGUUCACAUCAAGUACUUAACUCCUCCAGUGGGAAACUGCUAUGUGCCCGAAAGGAAUCAGACAGCCGACUGUUCCUCUUAACCAACAUAGUUGAACUGGUACGUUGCUAGUAAGAACCUGCCCGUUUUGUGCUCACUGAAUGCUUCUACAUUUGUUCAAGUGACUUUGUAUGAUUUAUUUUAGAAUUAAAUUGUCUUGAAUUGUAUAA